AUAUCCUCAACCAUAGCUUCUCCAGUUGAGAUGGACUGUUCAGUUUGAGGAGUCAGAUUUCCAUUUCGCAGUUUGUCAGUGGAUUCGGCAACUGAAUCCUGAUUUUUAUCAUCAGAACAUGAGUGGGAUAUAAGAAACUGAGAACCAAGUGAAUCGUCAGACUUUGAUAACUGAUUGAGCAGCUCUGCCUGCUCCCAGGGAACUCUUUCAGAAUAAUCU
rnacentral:lncRNA from 1 species